rnacentral:rRNA from 1 species
UACGUAGGGGGCAAGCGUUGUCCGGAUUUAUUGGGCGUAAAGAGCGUGUAGGCGGCCAGGUAGGUCCGCUGUGAAAACUCGAGGCUCAACCUCGAGACGUCGAUGGAAACCAUCUGGCUAGAGUCCGGAAGAGGAGAGUGGAAUUCCUGGUGUAGCGGUGAAAUGCGCAGAUAUCAGGAAGAACACCUAUGGCGAAGGCAGCUCUCUGGGACGGUACUGACGCUGAGACGCGAAAGCGUGGGGAGCGAACAGG